GCUCAGGACGAACGCUGGCGGCGUGCCUAAUACAUGCAAGUCGAGCGGACAGAUGGGAGCUUGCUCCCUGAUGUUAGCGGCGGACGGGUGAGUAACACGUGGGUAACCUGCCUGUAAGACUGGGAUAACUCCGGGAAACCGGGGCUAAUACCGGAUGGUUGUUUGAACCGCAUGGUUCAAACAUAAAAGGUGGCUUYGGCUACCACUUACAGAUGGACCCGCGGCGCAUUAGCUAGUUGGUGAGGUAACGGCUCACCAAGGCAACGAUGCGUAGCCGACCUGAGAGGGUGAUCGGCCACACUGGGACUGAGACACGGCCCAGACUCCUACGGGAGGCAGCAGUAGGGAAUCUUCCGCAAUGGACGAAAGUCUGACGGAGCAACGCCGCGUGAGUGAUGAAGGUUUUCGGAUCGUAAAGCUCUGUUGUUAGGGAAGAACAAGUACCGUUCGAAUAGGGCGGUACCUUGACGGUACCUAACCAGAAAGCCACGGCUAA
rnacentral:rRNA from 1 species